rnacentral:rRNA from 1 species
GAUGAACGCUGGCGGCGUGCCUAAUACAUGCAAGUCGAGCGAACAGACGAGGAGCUUGCUCCGCUGACGUUAGCGGCGCACGGGUGAGUAACGCGUGGAUCACCUACCUAUAAGACUGGGAUCACUUCGAGACACCGGAGCUAAUACCGGAUAAUAUCUUGCACCGCAUGGUUCAUUAGUGAAAGACGGUUUUGCUGUCACUUCUCGCUGGAUCCGGGCCGCUUUGGCUAGUUGGUACGGUAACGGGUUACCAAGGCGACGAUGCGUAGCCGACCUGAGAGAGUGAUCGGCGACACUGGAACGGAGACACGGACCAGAGGCCUACGGUAGGCAGCAGUAGGGAAUCUGCCGCAAUGGGGGAAAGCCUGACGGAGCAAGGGGGCGCGAGUGAUGAAGGCGUUCGGAUCGGAAAGCCCUGUUAUUAGGGAAGAACAAAUGUGGAAGGAAACAUGGACGGCUUGACGGUAAUGAAUCAGAAAGCCACGGCUAACUACGUG